rnacentral:rRNA from 1 species
UACGAAGGGGGCUAGCGUUGUUCGGAUUUACUGGGCGUAAAGCGUGCGCAGGCGGUUUGCUAAGAGAGAUGUGAAAUCCCCGGGCUUAACCUGGGAACUGCGUUUCUAACUGGCAGGCUUGAGUGUGGCAGAGGGGGGUGGAAUUCCACGUGUAGCAGUGAAAUGCGUAGAGAUGUGGAGGAACACCGAUGGCGAAGGCAGCCCCCUGGGCUAACACUGACGCUCAUGCACGAAAGCGUGGGGAGCAAACGGG